GACGAACGCUGGCGGCGUGCCUAACACAUGCAAGUCGAACGUGAUUAUGAAACGGAAACUUUCGGGUGGAAGUUUCAUAUGAAAGUGGCGGACGGGUGAGUAACGCGUGAGCAACCUGCUCUGUACUGCGGGAUAGCCAAGGGAAACUUUGAUUAAUACCGCAUGAUGCUCUCUAUUCGCAUGAGAAGAGGGCCAAAGAAUUUUGGUAUAGGAUGGGCUCGCGUCUGAUUAGCUAGUUGGUGGGAUAAAAGCUCACCAAGGCUGCGAUCAGUAACCGGCUUGAGAGAGUGAACGGUCACACUGGAACUGAGACACGGUCCAGACUCCUACGGGAGGCAGCAGUGGGGAAUAUUGCACAAUGGAGGAAACUCUGAUGCAGCGACGCCGCGUGAGCGAAGAAGGAAAUCGUUUCGUAAAGCUCUGUCCUAUGGGAAGAUAAUGACGGUACCAUAGGAGGAAGCCCCGGCUAACUACGUGCCAGCCGCCGCCGUAAAAC
rnacentral:rRNA from 1 species